UACGAAGGGGGCUAGCGUUGCUCGGAAUCACUGGGCGUAAAGCGUGCGUAGGUGGUUUGUUAAGUCUGAUGUGAAAGCCCUGGGCUCAACCUGGGAAUUGCAUUGGAUACUGGCGAGCUAGAGUGCGGUAGAGGAUGGCGGAAUUCCCGGUGUAGCAGUGAAAUGCGUAGAGAUCGGGAGGAACAUCUGUGGCGAAGGCGGCCAUCUGGACCAGCACUGACACUGAGGCACGAAAGCGUGGGGAGCAAACAGG
rnacentral:rRNA from 1 species